rnacentral:rRNA from 1 species
GACGAACGCUGGCGGCGUGCUUAACACAUGCAAGUCGAACGGAAAGGCCCUGCUUUUGUGGGGUGCUCGAGUGGCGAACGGGUGAGUAACACGUGAGUAACCUGCCCUUGACUUUGGGAUAACUUCAGGAAACUGGGGCUAAUACCGGAUAGGAGCUCCUGCUGCAUGGUGGGGGUUGGAAAGUUUCGGCGGUUGGGGAUGGACUCGCGGCUUAUCAGCUUGUUGGUGGGGUAGUGGCUUACCAAGGCUUUGACGGGUAGCCGGCCUGAGAGGGUGACCGGCCACAUUGGAACUGAGAUACGGCCCAGACUCCUACGGGAGGCAGCAGUGGGGAAUAUUGCACAAUGGGCGGAAGCCUGAUGCAGCAACGCCGCGUGCGGGAUGACGGCCUUCGGGUUGUAAACCGCUUUCGCCUGUGACGAAGCGUGAGUGACGGUAAUGGGUAAAGAAGCACCGGCUAACUGCGUG